rnacentral:lncRNA from 1 species
AAAAAUCCCAAUAAUGUUCCGAAAAUUGCUACAAACUUAUUGAGAUUUCAGCUUCCUACUGAAUUCCCUGUUUCAUGGUUAUGCUAUAUUAGUAUUUUAUUAUUAUUUAUCCUAAAUUAGUUGAAUUAUUAUGAUAUUACUUUUUAGGCUGUCCAUUUGUUAAUUAUAUUUACUCUAACUUUUUUAUUAAAUUUUAUUUUCCGUGCGAAUAGGCCAUUUCUGGUGCUAAUCGGUUUCUCUCUUCUUCAAUUUGUUAAUUUGUUAAUUUUUAGGUUGUAGGGAUGUUUUGAAAAAUAAAAUGGAAAUAUACAAGUCAUCCAUUGUACAACAUCAGGAAAAAAUAAUUCAACGUCAUUCACUCCAUAUAAGUUUUGCUUAAGAAACGUGUAACCAAAUCAGUUGGGAUAUGCUAAGUGGGAAAAUGUCAUUCCCAAGUACUGGUGAAAAGACACCUAUUUACUCCAUGCAUGACCUUUCGUUUACCAAAUAUGAAGAUUGCAGUUGUGCAAAAUAUCUGUGUCAGUAAAAUGUCAUUCCUAGCCGUCUAUGAUGUCAGUAAUAAAUCAGCUAUAUAAUAUAUAUUAUACAUUUAUAUAUAAAACGGUUUAUGACAGCACAAACACCAGACAAAAUAGAUUAAAACCCAACAUUUAGACAACAUUUGUACAACGUAG